rnacentral:lncRNA from 1 species
GAUGCAGUUGUCUUCCGAAGGUUAUAUCUUCCUCAUUUCAGCUCCAAAUCGUACACGGUUUGAAGCGUUGGAUUCUUGAAUUCCUGAGCUUUGAAAUGGUAUAUAGAAUGUAGAAAAUGGACUUCGGGAAGUGCUCCAAAAGUGCGAAGGAAGACUGCAGCUGCUGUCCUCUGUUUUCUUCACUUUGCUUGAUUUUCCUCUUUGCUUC